rnacentral:rRNA from 1 species
UUCAUUACAAGUGAGGCUACCGAACGUUGGAAACAGCGGUUAGGAGCUUACACCCACCCGUGUUUACAUACUAUUGUUGCUUUGGCGGGCCGUGGCCUCCACUGCGGGCUCUGCUCGUGUGUGCCCGCCAGAGGACCAAACUCUGAAUGUUAGUGAUGUCUGAGUACUAUCUAAUAGUUAAAACUUUCAACAACGGAUCUCUUGGUUCUGGCAUCGAUGAAGAACGCAGCGAAAUGCGAUAAGUAAUGUGAAUUGCAGAAUUCAGUGAAUCAUCGAAUCUUUGAACGCACAUUGCGCCCUGUGGUAUUCCGCAGGGCAUGCCUGUUCGAGCGUCAUUUAACCACUCACGCCUAGCGUGGUAUUGGGGCACGCGGUCUCGCGGCCCUCAAAAUUAGUGGCGGCGCCGGUGGGCUUUAAGCGUAGUACAUACUCCCGCUAUAAAGUUCCCCCGGUGGCUCGCCAGAACCCCCAAUUUUUUACAGGUUGACCUCGGAUCAGGUAGGUGAUACCCG